AAAUAAGAGAGAUCAAACAAAAUGCAUGUUAUUUUUUAUUUAGUACUGUCCUGAGUGAGAUAUUUUACAUAUAAUUUGUUUACAUUUAGUCCAUUAGUCCAUUUGUAUGAUCUCUCUUAUUUUUUUUUUUUAAUUACUCACAUUUUCACAGAUUCUGCAAGGGUUUCACAAACUUUCAAGUGGCACUGUAUAUAAAACAUUAUAAUAUAACAUUUCUGUAAUCUUUAUACCAGUCAACAGUCUUUGAACAGUUUGAACAUUAAGAUUUUUAAUGUUUUUUUAACCAGUUGGGCAAGAAGUAACAGCUGUUCUUGCGUCCAGUUUUUUUAUUUUAUUUGUAAUUUUUUUUGUUACGUUUGCAUGUAUUACUGUCAGCCAUGAUUAUUUUACUCUUAAUUAAAAGGCUGUUUAUAUGCAUAUUCACUAAUUGUUUAAGAGAAGCAUAUAUGUAAGAGUCUGACAAUUAGCUGAAAAUAUACUUGUUUAAUUGUGACACUUAGCCUGUAUUUUAAAAUCUUUAUUUGAAAGUGGCAAUUUUUUUACAUUUUUAAACCUUUAUAUGGCAACAUCGUGCUCUACAAUAUUUCUAUGAAUAAAUCUCUGACAGAGACCCCUCCUCUAUCAGCCAUCAGUGAAUAUGGGCCCAGGUGAAUACUGUGUCGUUUAGGAUUGAUUAGGACUGAUUGGUAACAUUAAAAAAACAAACAAAAAAAAAAAAACAUAUUAAAUAACAUAUUUUUCCUUUAGACUUCUCUGUAAUGGGACCAACCUGGGAAAUGAACCUGUAGUUCCUUCAUGCCAUGUCAGAGCAAAUAUAUGUUGCUAACCCAGCUGAUGUCUCGAAUGACCUCCAGGACUCAAAACUAGCAGCCACAUGUUUUCGCAUUGUCAUGAUGACAUAUAAAUGAUCGAUCCCAAUCAAGAUAACAUCAAGAAACUGAGACGACAGAUGGCAAACAAUAUUCUUCAUGGAUCAGGUAAUAUAACAAGCAUCCAGUAAUUCAAAAGACUUAUUGAACUGUAUUAGUCGAAGAAUUAGAGGGCUAAAUAACAGUUUGGUACAUUCUGCAACUUAUGGUUAAACAUACAUGCAUACGUGCAUGCAUGAAUAAAUAAAUAAAUAUAAUCUGCUGUAGAAUCCA
ensembl:lncRNA